UACGUAGGGUGCAAGCGUUACUCGGAAUUACUGGGCGUAAAGCGUGCGCAGGCGGUUUGUUAAGUCUGUUGUGAAAUCCCCGAGCUCAACUUGGGAAUUGCAAUGGAUACUGGCAGGCUGGAGUAUGGUAGAGGAAGGUGGAAUUCCCGGUGUAGCAGUGAAAUGCGUAGAGAUCGGGAGGAACACCAGUGGCGAAGGCGGCCUUCUGGACCAAUACUGACGCUCAUGCACGAAAGCGUGGGGAGCAAACAGG
rnacentral:rRNA from 1 species